rnacentral:rRNA from 1 species
AUUACCGCGGCUGCUGGCACGUAGUUAGCCGGGGCUUCCUCCUAAGGUACCGUCAUUCUUCUUCCCUUAGGACAGAGCUUUACGACCCGAAGGCCUUCUUCGCUCACGCGGCGUUGCUGCAUCAGGGUUUCCCCCAUUGUGCAAUAUUCCCCACUGCUGCCUCCCGUAGG